rnacentral:misc_RNA from 1 species
AUGUCUACAAUAACUAGGAAGUUGUCAAGUCGAAUAGUUCCUGUCUUUCGAAAAAUAUCUACAAUGUCCUUAUUCCAGGUGAUGGAACCCUCAUUGGAUCCAAAAGUUUUCAAUGUCAACGAAGUAGCUGUUGGACUCAAUUUAGUUCUUUUGUAUGGAUUUGCUGCUGUAACCGUGAUCGUUCCCACUCUGCUUGGUGUCUCACAACGUGGAUUUUUCUGUGAUGAUGAUUCGAUUCGAUAUGAAUAUCGGAAAGAUACAAUAACUGCAGUACAGUUGAUGCUGUAUAAUUUAGUGCUCAAUGCAGCAACAGUAUUGUUCGUCGAAUAUUAUCGAAUGCAAAAGGUAGAAUCAAAUAUCAAUAAUCCGAGAUAUCGCUGGAGAAACAAUCAUCUUCACGUUCUCUUCGUCCGACUUUUGACAUAUUUUGGAUACUCUCAAAUCGGAUUCGUUAUGAAUAUCGCCUUGAAUAUUGUAACAAAACACGUCGUUGGCAGACUUCGUCCGCAUUUUCUCGAUGUCUGUAAGCUAGCAAAUGAUACUUGCGUCACUGGAGAUUCUCACAGAUACAUCACCGAUUAUACGUGUACAGGACCACCAGAGUUGGUACUAGAAGCACGAAAGAGUUUCUAUUCAGGCCAUUCCGCUGUUUCACUUUACUGCGCGACGUGGUCAGCGCUUUACAUUCAAGCUCGUCUAGGCCCUGUCCUGAAUAAUCGAAUUGUAGUGCCAAUAUCGCAGACACUGAUGUUUAUGAUUGGACUUGGAAUUAGCUUCUCCAGAAUCACUGAUAAUAAGCAUCAUUGGAGCGAUGUUCUUGUCGGAAUUUUCAUUGGAAUAUUCUUGGCUGUUUACACUGUAAUAUUAUUAUGAGUGUUUGGGAACUUUCGCAUUUUUUCUGCUUUCAGUGUACCUUCUGGACAGAUUUGUUCUCAAACAAUUCAACUGAAUCUGAAACACAACCUCUUCUGCUUCCUCGACCACCCCGUACUCCCAGAAACUCUGAAGAUGAGGAGCGACAUCGAUUGGAUGCAGUUUUACCUUCUACGGAUAGUUCUAUUGUUUUUGAAGCUACUGGACCGCAGGACUCGGAUACAAUUUUGUUGCCGGUUCCGCAAAGUGCAUAA